UAAAAACCUGACAGGGAAGUGGGCA
rnacentral:piRNA from 1 species